rnacentral:rRNA from 1 species
UACGUAGGGGGCAAGCGUUGUCCGGACUUAUUGGGCGUAAAGAGCGUGUAGGCGGCCAAGCAGGUCCGUUGUGAAAACUGGAGGCUUAACCUCCAGACGUCGACGGAAACCGCGUGGCUAGAGUCCGGAAGAGGAGAGUGGAAUUCCUGGUGUAGCGGUGAAAUGCGCAGAUAUCAGGAAGAACACCAAUGGCGAAGGCAGCUCUCUGGGACGGUACUGACGCUGAGACGCGAAAGCGUGGGGAGCGAACAGG